AUAUAUCUCAAUACUCUCUCACUGUUUCUCUAACCUUAAAUCCCCAACCCCCCAAAACCAGAGCUUAAGCUCUUCAGCUCAACCAGUCAUGGAGAUACAAGUGGCUCACCCAGUGCCCCCUGUGGACUUCAACUUCGACAGCAGCGCCUGCUCCUCCCCCUACAUGACUGCUCCUUCAAGCCCCACUCGAUUUGGCAACUAUUUCUUCAGCGCACCCACCAGCCCCACCCGGGCCUCUUCCUUCUACAGCCACUUCAACGACCUCUCCGGCGAAAACGAUCCAAGACUUUCAGCCUCUUCAAUCCCUUUCAAGUGGGAAGAGAAGCCCGGAAUUCCCAAGUCCAGAGCUACCAUUAAUGGUGAUCAUAUUCAUCAUCUUGAGGAGGAUUUUGAGUUUGAUUUUAGUGGGCAGUUGGAGAAGGCUUCCUUGCCGGCAGACGAGCUCUUCGACGGCGGCAAGAUCAGGCCUCUGAAACCCCCUCCACGCUUACAAGUUGGGAGCAAUGGAGCUGAUGAGCCAGGUCCCUCCGUCCCCGUCUCCAAGAGAGUCGAGACUUUCCCAAGGAAAGAAAUUGGUUCAGGGAGUACUAUCCCCGCGGCAUCACCGAAAGGACCAUCAGGCUCAUGAUGAUCCUUUCGCUGCCGCAAUGAAUGAGACCCGAAAGAACGAGUAUGAAUAUGGAAAUCAAGAAGAAAGGCGGGGGAGAGAAAGAUCUCCUUCCGUGCGUAAAAAGGGAACCAGAUCUUUGUCUCCCCUGCGCGUGUCGGACGUCAUGUUCGACAUCGAAGAAGACAAGACAGCUUCUUCAUCAACAACCAACUCCAACAAGGCCUCCACAUCUUCAGCAUAUUCUUCAUUUUUGUCAGCGAUCUCGUUCUCUUCAUCGAAAGUAAGUAGAAAGUGGAAAUUGAAAGAUCUUUUGUUGUUUCGAAGCGCAUCAGAAGGCCGAGCCACAACUGGAAAAGACCCGUUGAGAAAGUACGCGAUGCUGUCCCCCAAGAAAAGUAGCAGUAGUAUUGCGGAGGAUGUGAAGAACUCGAGUUUUCGGUCCACCGACAGCGUGGGGUCAGUGAGCUCGAGGAGGAGAGGGCCGAUUUCGCCUCACGAGUUGCAUUACACCGCGAACCGGGCGGUUACGGAGGAGAUGAGGAGGAAGACCUUCUUGCCGUACAAGCAUGGCCUCUUGGGUUGCUUGGGGUUCAACCCCGGGUUGCAUGAGAUUUCCAGAGGGGCUUUUGGGUCUUUGACACGUGGCGGAGGGUGCAGACCAUGACUCGAUCUGUAGCCGUAGAUAUAUUUUUUUUCUGUUCAAAUUUCUUUGUUGUGGGAUGCGGAUGUUUGAGUUUUGCUCAUAUGGUUGAUGAUCAACUUGAUGAUCUUGGUUGGAUUAUUUGAUUGUUGGGGCAUGUGUGUGGUGUCUCUAUCACAAGAAAUGGAAUCGAAUAGUAUGAAACAUAUAUAUACAAGAGAUUAAAUUACAAGCAACGUUUUGUGUUUGGUUGGGAACAAUUAU